AAAUAUAGAAGUGAUGAAUGCUGUGAAUAUUCCUUUCUUCUCCGUAAAAUUAAGUCUAUCAAUCAGUCCUUUUCUGAACUGAUUUCUAUAGCCCUGCUUCCCUCCCGCAAUCGGAGUGAAACUACCAUAAAAGGUUUGUCUUGAAAAGAAAUAGUGCCACUGGCAGCCACUAUAUGAGUGAGAUAGACUUGAUUCUUUCUCUGGC
rnacentral:lncRNA from 1 species